rnacentral:misc_RNA from 1 species
GAUGAAGAACGUAGCGAAAUGCGAUAAGUAAUGUGAAUUGCAGAAUUCAGUGAAUCAUCGAAUCUUUGAACGCACCUUGCGCCCUUUGGCCAUUCCGAAGGGCAUGCCUGUUUGAGUAUCAUGAACACCUCAACUCUUUAUGGUUUUCCAUGAUGAGCUUGGACUCUGGGGGUUUUGCUGGCUCACAGUCGGCUCCUCUAAAAUGAAUCAGCUUACCAGUGUUUGGUGGGUAUCAUGGGUGUGAUAACUAUCUACGCUUGUGGUUUUUCCACCAGGUAACCUUCAGCAGUGGAGGUUCGCUGGAGCUCAUAGAUGUCUCUCCUCAGUGAGGACAGCCCUUUGAAUGUUUGAUCUCAAAUCAGGUAUGACUACCCGCUGAACUUAAGCAUAUCAAUAAGCGGAGGA